GGAGUCACCCUGUGGCUGCCCCAGAAAAGCUUUUGAAAUAUCUUGGCUCUGCAGUCACUUUUCCCACAAUGAAUCUGCCUGGCGCUCACUUAGGUGGGUCACCAGUUUUGAUUGGACGUAUUGCAUCAGUGUGUCUAAUUGGGCCGGCUGCUUUCACUUACUGGUGCGUGGUUGUAUGAGAGAUGAGAAAGAACGCCUGGGUUCUCCAGUGGGGAGGCCCUGACUCAAAACCUGGACAACUUUCCUGCCUAGGAAGCGUGUUCCAUGGAAAGAACAUUCCCUUUAGUGGUAAAAAUGCACACGAUGUCGGAAGAAAGAAGUAAAAAGUGGCAAGCUGGUAAAUGUCGCGUUUCCUGGCUCACACACUGAUUAUCCCAGAAAACAUUUUUAGCUCAUCUAAUUACAAUAAUCCCCAUCUCCACUGGAACGAGAGUCUCUGUGGAGUCUUCAUCCAACAGGCAUGCAGGCGGUAAAAAGCCUCAGAAAGGUCUGACCCUGCUUAUGAAAGACGUCACUGUCAUCAUCGCUCAUGCCCUAAGAGAAAGCCUGGCCGAGCUGCUGGAAGACUGUUCCGUUUUAUGGAGAAGAUCUGGGGAGUCGAGUUGUAGUGCCGACAUCCUUAGUAGACUUCACCUCUGCGCCAUACCAGCCACGAUGACCUACAGCCACAGUGUUAAUAUACCGCCUGUCCUGUAUCAGCCAGGGACACCGCAGUGCGUCAGGCAGUCGGCUGCAACCAGCAGGUGGCCGUGACCUAGCAGAUGGCCCACCAUUCAAACACCUGCUCUUGAGGGGAGCUCCCUAACGCAGGCCUUUCACCAAAAUUCAGAAACAGUUUCAACAAUCAUGCAAGUCAUUCUACAGUAUUUUAUCACACAAAAGGCAAACUUUCACCUCGGUCUGUAUUGGGAGUUAGGGUUGGGGGGUGGCGGAGACAGAAGGGGUCUGUUUUUGAGCCUACGGUAGUAAAUAAAUGGAAAUGAAGCCAGUCUGUGGACAGAGAGUAAGAGACAAAGAGAGCGCCUUUGCCGGUGAGAACAAACACAGGCUGCCCCCCCCCCGCCCCCCACUGCUGCCCUCUGCUUGCUGAGCCACCUGCUCUGCAGCCGGGACAACAGGAGGGGGCUGCGCUGAACAAUCAGAUUUUCCCCACAGAUGACUCACUCCUGAGCCAGAUGCUGAGCCAUCUUCCCGGAGGCUGUGUUAGUGAGAAUCUGAAACCUAUUUAAAAUAACCCAGGCAGUAAAACCUUAGGAUAAAAGAUGUCCGAUUGGUUUUUGAGAGACUUGGGGACCGGGUCAUUAAAGGGACGUUCACACCUUGAAAUUUCAUUUCUUUCGUGCUGAUUAUUUGAAGGUAUAAGUUUGUAUAUCUAGACAAAUCCCUGGUGAUGACCACUGAAGGUGGUUUUUAUCAUAAAAUACCUUAAGAAGAUUAUGGGGAUGGAGGCAAAAAAAUCACACACGUAAAAAUCCCUUGAAAAAUACUCUGGCAGUUUAGCAGUUAGAAAUGACUGUCUCCUGCAAGUAUGUAGUCAAAUUGCAUCAAUUCAGUAUUUCUAUGUACUCAGC